rnacentral:rRNA from 1 species
UACGAAGGGGGCUAGCGUUGUUCGGAAUUACUGGGCGUAAAGCGCACGUAGGCGGGUUGUUAAGUCAGGGGUGAAAUCCUGGAGCUCAACUCCAGAACUGCCUUUGAUACUGGCAACCUAGAGACUGGAAGAGGUUAGUGGAAUUCCCAGUGUAGAGGUGGAAUUCGUAGAUAUUGGGAAGAACACCAGUGGCGAAGGCGGCUAACUGGUCCAGCACUGACGCUGAGGUGCGAAAGCGUGGGGAGCAAACAGG